ACAACAUUGAGCUGUGAUCCUUUAAAAUAUACACCAGAAUCACGCAAAAAUGAAAUAAAUUACAAAAAAGAUAAAAUAAUAAUAACGAAAAAAUGACCUGGCCAGGAAAGAGGAAAGCACGGGAAGGCUUAUAAUCUUUGAAUAGCGCAUCGUCGACGACAAUGCUUUGAGAUCCAACAAUGACGCUCAUGAAAACCUUACCUCCUCUAUCCAAAUUCUUGAGGGAAAUUCUUGAAAUUGCAUUCCUGAAACCCAAAUUACUAGUUGAAAUUGAGCUCAUUCUGAGGGAAAUAGAAGGAAUCACUAGAGAUGAAGAAGCCAUAGUCGAUAAAAAAAAAAUGGUGAAAAGGAGGAUGCUACGGAUCUAUUGAGAUUGAAGGGG
rnacentral:lncRNA from 1 species